GACGUAGGAUGCAAGCGUCGUUCGGAUUUAUUGGGCGUAAAGCGUACGUAGGCGGUUAUCUAAGUCUGGUGUUAAAGCUAGGGGCUCAACCUCUGUGUUGCACUGGAAACUGGGUGACUUGAGAACGGUAGGGGAAGGUGGAAUUCCGAGUGUAGCGGUGAAAUGCGUAGAUAUUCGGAAGAACACCGGUGGCGAAGGCGACCUUCUGGGCCGUUUCUGACGCUGAGGUACGAAAGCGUGGGGAGCAAACAGG
rnacentral:rRNA from 1 species